AAGCAAAACUAUACGGGCGCUGUGCAGCGAGGCCCCGUGCUGGCAGCAGGGUCUGGGAGCGGAUCCUCCGGGACCCGUGCUCAGAAGUGAUGAAGUGAUUGGAUAGAUGAGGCCGGGCUUGUCCCGGGCCGCUGAUUAUUGAGGCGAAUCUGAUGUG